GCGGGUGUAGCGCAGUGGUAGCGCAUCUGCUUCCCAAGCAGGUUGUCGUGGGUUCGAAUCCCACCACCCGCU
rnacentral:tRNA from 1 species